AUUGUUUCUUGGCUUUCUGGCUAAGAUCAUGUGUAGUAUCUGUUCUUAUCAGUUUAAUAUCUGAUAUGUCCUCUUGAGAAGCAGUGUGGCUUAGUGGAAAAAGCAUUCCCCUGGGAACCAGAGGACCUGGGUUCUAAUCCCAGCUGUGCCACUUUUC
rnacentral:snRNA from 1 species